rnacentral:rRNA from 1 species
UACGAAGGGGGGCUAGCGUUGCUCGGAAUCACUGGGCGUAAAGGGUGCGUAGGCGGGUCUUUAAGUCAGGGGUGAAAUCCUGGAGCUCAACUCCAGAACUGCCUUUGAUACUGAGGAUCUUGAGUUCGGGAGAGGUGAGUGGAACUGCGAGUGUAGAGGUGAAAUUCGUAGAUAUUCGCAAGAACACCAGUGGCGAAGGCGAGUCCCUGGACAGAUCCUGACGCUGAGGCACGAAAGCUAGGGGAGCAAACAGG